rnacentral:lncRNA from 1 species
GGAGUUCUACAUUACUUGUGAUGGUUCCUUAUAUCCCUAGAACAAUAAGACUGCCUAGUGUUACGCAGGACUCCCCUAUUUUGGAUGCAUAAUUUGAUUUUUUUUUUUUUAAUUUUUGUAGAGACAGAGUCUCGCUAUGUUGCCAGUGUGGUCUCAAACUCCUGGCCUCCAGUGCUUCCCCCUGCCUCAGCCUCCCAAAGUGCUGGCUUACAGGCAUGAGCCACCAUGCCUAGCCUGGAUUUAUUACUUUAACUAAAAGUAGUUGUUAUUCCCGAUCUGAACAAACAACAGAAAGUUUUGUUUGCAAAGUUGUAGUAAAUAACAGCCAAGAGACUUGGAAAGAGGCUGAGUGGGGUUCAUUAGACUAACUCUCUGGGGAUCCCAAGUCCCAUUAAACUAGGGAGAUGAAUAGAUCCCUUAAGAAAACAAAACUGCAACCCAAAUCUUCCAGCCCUGAUAUCACCUUCACAAAAAGAUGUUUACUUCAGAAGGAGCUUACUGAAAAAUGAAGAUUUUGAAAUACUCUAGACUCUUCAGACCCUUUGCAUUGAAUGAUGGCUCCAAAGAAGCUAUUCUACUCUGAGUGACCAGGGAAUGCAUCUGCCCACUCAGGAAGCUUUGUAAGAGAACAGGUGUUCUUAGAAAAUGCCGUCAAAUUCAUGAGAGAUACAGAUCUCACACCAACAGCAUAGGACCAGCAUUUAGAGCCAACAGACAACAUUGCAACCUCAGGAAAUAACGGUGAGAACCAGUUAUCUCCUGCAGUCUUGUGAGCAGUGUGUUUGGAAUGGCCUGAUUGGGACUCCCGCGGAGGACUGGUAGACACCUGACCCUGGACCUGCCAGGUAAUCUCCACCUUAGCACUUCAGGGGCUGGCAGAGCAGCAGUUGCUUCCUCAAACCCUCCUCUUACUGGCACUUGUUUUUAUAUUUUGUCAGAAGGUCUGGCACAUCAAGGGCAGGCACUGGGUGUCAUUUGUAACUUGAGCCCCACCACCCAAGUCAAUGCUGGAACACAGCAGUGGGUAAGCCGAUGUUUAUUCAGUCAGAGCCAUUAUAUUACUGACUUGCACUGAGGGACUUUGCCUGGCCUGAUCUGCCCAAUGUUGUGCCACUCUGUGCUCUAUGUAACUGUGCCCUUGGAAGACACAAAGCUCUGGACAACAUGGAGUCUGGGUGAAACUCCAAAUGCUUUUGUUUUGAAGGAGAAGAUCUCAUCCUCCUUCUAAGUGUAGUAGAAGAGCAUGAAGGCCAGGCACAGUGGCUCACACCUGUAAUCCCAGCACUUUGGGAGGCUGAGAACGGUGGGUCACCUGAGGCCAGGAGUUCGAGACUAGCC